CAUCCAAGGAAGGCAGCAGGCACGCAAAUUACCCACUCCCGGCACGGGGAGGUAGUGACGAAAAAUAACGAGACGGCUCGCUAUGCGGUCCGUCAUCGGAAUGAGUACAAUUUAAAUCCUUUAACGAGGAUCUAGUGGAGGGCAAGUCUGGUGCCAGCAGCCGCGGUAAUUCCAGCUCCGCAAGUGUAUUCCUAUACUGUUGCGGUUAAAAAGCUCGUAGUUGGAUCUGAGUGUUUAGCGCUUGGUGCAGUUCUGCUGUUACUGAGUGCGGCACAUAAUCGCCAAUUGGUUGCCAUCGUUGCCUUAACUGGUGAUGGUGGUUGACUGUUGGCAUGUUUACUUUGAACAAAUCAGAGUGCUCAAUACGGGCGUUUCGCUUGUAUGGUCGUGCAUGGAAUAAUAGAAUAGGACCUUGGUUCUAUUUUGUUGGUUUUCGGAACAUGAGGUAAUGAUUAAGAGGGACAGACGGGGGCAUUCGUAUUGCGACGUUAGAGGUGAAAUUCUUGGAUCGUCGCAAGACGAACUACUGCGAAAGCAUUUUGCCAAGAAUGUUUUCAUUAAUCAAGGACGAUAGUUAGAGGUUCGAAGGCGAUCAGAUACCGCCCUAGUUCUAACCGUAAACGAUGUCAACCAGCGAUCCGCAGGAGUUAUUCAUGACUCUGCGGGCAGCUUCCGGGAAACCAAAGUUUUUGGAUUCCGGGGGGAGUAUGGUUGCAAAGCUGAAACUUAAAGGAAUUGACGGAAGGGCACCACCAGGAGUGGAGCCUGCGGCUUAAUUUUGACUCAACGCGGGGAAACUCACCCGGCCCGGACACCGUAAGGAUUGACAGAUUGAGAGCUCUUUCUUGAUUCGGUGGGUGGUGGUGCAUGGCCGUUCUUAGUUGGUGGAGCGAUUUGUCUGGUUAAUUCCGAUAACGAACGAGACUCUAGCCUACUAAAUAGAAGGCAAAUUAUU
rnacentral:rRNA from 1 species